AUUGAACGCUGGCGGCAUGCUUUAUACAUGCAAGUCGUGCGGCAGCGCGGGGGCAACUCCGGCGGCGAGCGGCGAACGGGUGAGUAAUACAUAGGAACGUAUCCUGAAAUGGGGGAUAGCUCGGCGAAAGCCGGAUUAAUACCGCAUACGCUCCACGGAGGAAAGCAGGGGAUCGCAAGACCUUGCGUUUCUGGAGCGGCCUAUGUCUGAUUAGCUAGNGGCGGGUAAUAGCCCACCAAGGCGACGAUCAGUAGCUGGUCUGAGAGGAUGAUCAGCCACACUGGGACUGAGACACGGCCCAGACUCCUACGGGAGGCAGCAGUAGGGUAAUUUUGGACAAG
rnacentral:rRNA from 1 species